rnacentral:rRNA from 1 species
UACGUAGGGUGCGAGCGUUAAUCGGAAUUACUGGGCGUAAAGCGUGUGCAGGCGGUCUGUUAAGACAGGUGUGAAAUCCCCGGGCUUAACCUGGGAAUGGCGCUUGUUACUGGCAGACUAGAGUACGUCAGAGGGGGGUGGAAUUCCACGUGUAGCAGUGAAAUGCGUAGAGAUGUGGAGGAACACCGAUAGCGAAGGCAGCUCGCUGGGACGUUACUGACACUGAGGCGCGAAAGCGUGGGGAGCGAACAGG